rnacentral:lncRNA from 1 species
AAAUGCUUUUGUUUGGUAACGCUUUUUGUAUUUUCCUUUUUGCAUGUCAUUGUUUGGUCAGCACAACUUAAAGGAGUAUACAGUAAGCUUCUUGGGCUGGAGGAGUCAGAACUAAGCUAGCUCUCGAGAAGGUUCUCAUUCGAACCAUUGACUACAGCGCUGCCAAUGUGUACAACAGUCCUGACGCUUUGUCUAACCGUUAAUAAUCAUAGCGUGCAAUGCGAUUUUGGAAACCUCAGAAACUCUACUUUUAUAACACUCCAAAAUAAGAUAGACUUACUGUGCGCCAUUUUAACAUGAUUUUCAUGGAGUUGUUUUGUGUUGAACUCUUUUUAUCUGAACUACAACACUUCCUGAGCCUGGAAUCUUGGGAGGAACACACAAAGAACGUUGGCUUGAAGCUGUGUUGCACAAAAACCUCAGCGGCAAUCUGUGGUAAAACAGCUAAUAAAGAAAAUUUGACAAACAUACAGCACCAGUCAAAAAAAUCAUCUGACCUCAAUCCAAUUGAGAUGGUUUGGGAUGAGUUGGACCGCAGAGUGAAGGAAAAUCAGCCAACAAGUGCUCAGCAUAUGUGAGAACUCCUUCAAAACUGUUGGAAAAGCAUUCCUCAUGAAGCUGGUUGAGAAAAUGCCUAGAGUGUGCAAAGCUGUCAUCAAGGCAAAGGGUGGCUACUUUGAAGAAUCUCAAAUAUAACAUAUAUUUUGAUUCGUUUAACACUUUUUUGGUUGCUACAUGAUUCCAUAUGUGUUAUUUCAUAAUUUUGAUGUCUUCCCUAUUAUUCUACAAUGUAGUAAAAAUAUAGAAAAAUCCUUGAAUGAGUAGGUGUGCCCAAACUUUUGACUGGUACUGUAAAUAAGAAUGAUAUUGUAUAAGAAUUCUCUGACCAUGUAAAUUCCUAACUCAGCCUACGUAGAUAUUGCACAUUACAUACAAAACAAACAGACAUGAGAGAAAGAUUCAAUCACCAGAUGGUGCCGCAAAGGAGUAUGGGUUGCACCUCCAUCAUUCGGUCGUGUCAUUACCAUUGUUAUGAAUGUUUCACAGACGCCACACUGAUGUCCAAAAGUAGAUCAGGGGCUAAUGAUUUUGAAAGGGAGCUAAUAACUAUUUCACCCAGUGAUGUAUUCGAGUCACUAAACCUCAAGUCCGAAUCGAGUCCCAAGUCACAAGUAAGUCAUGAGUCCCUACGGCUGAAGUCAGAGUCCCAGUGCUUGAGUCCUGGUCCAAGUGCUCAAGUCUGAGUCACUCGGUCCACAUUAACUCAAAAUAUAGUUAUUUACCAAGUCAGAUUUUGUGUAGUGGCAAGAAGAAUUUCAAUAAAUUGUUUACAAUCCCUUUUGCUUUCUCUCUGUGCCACAAAAUGGUUGCAUUUACAGUGCCUUCGUAAAGUAUUCAAACCCCUUGACUUUUUCCACAUUUUGUUAAAUUACAAACUUAUUUUAAAAUUGUUAAAAUGUUUUUUCCCUCAUCAAUCUACACACAAUACCCCAUAAUGACAAAUCAAAAACAUGUUUUUAGAAAUUGUAGCAAAUGUAUAAAAAAAAAUGAAAUAUCACAUUUACGUAAGUAUUCAGACCCUUUACUCAGUACUUUGUUGAAGCAACUUUGGCAGCGAUUACAGCCUUGAGUCUGCUGGGUAUGAUGCUACAAGCUUGGCACACCUGUAUUUCGGGAGUUUCUUCCUUUCUUCUCUGCAGAUCCUCUCAAGCUCUGUCAGGUUGGAUGGGGAGCGUUGCGGCACAGCUAUUUUCAGGUCUAUUCAGAGAUGUUCAAGUUCGGGGCUCUGGCUGGGCCACUCCAGGACAUUGAGAGACUUGUCCCGAAGCAACUCUUGCGUUGUCAGGGUCGUUGUCCUGUUGGAAGGUGAACCUUCACCCCAGGCUGAGGUCAUGAUCGCUCUGGAGCUUGUUUUAAUCAAGGAUCUCUCUGUACUUUGCUCCGUUCAUCUUUCCCUUCGAUCCUGACUAGUCUCCCAGUCUCUGCAAUGAAAAACAUCCCCACAGCAUGAUGUUGCCACCACCAUGCUUCACAGUAGGGAUGGUGCCAGGUUUACUCCAGGUUUUCGUGACGCUUGACAUUCAGGCCAAAGAGUGCAAUCUUGGUUUCAUCAGACCAGAGAAUCUUGUUUUUUCAUGGACUGAGAGUCUUUAGGUGCCGAUUGGCAAAUUCCAAGCGGGCUGUUAUGUGCCUUUUACUAAGGAGUGGCUUCUGUCUGGCCACUCUACCAUAAAGGCGUGAUUGGUGGAGUGCUGCAGAGAUGGUUGUCCUUCUGGAAGGUUCUCCCAUCUCCACAGAGGAACUCUAGAGCUCUGCCAGAGAGACCAUCGGGUUUUUGGUUACCUCCCUGACCAAUGCCCUUCUCCCCCUAUUGCUCAGUUUGGCCGGGCGGCCAGCUCUAGGAAAUGUCUUGGAGGCCACUGUGUUCUUGGGGACCUUCAAUGCUGCAGAAAUGUUUUGGUACCCUUCCCCAGAUUUGUGCCUUGACACAAUCCUGUCUCGGAGCUCUAUGGACAAUUCCUUCGACCUCAUGGCUUGGUUUUUGCUAUGACAUGCAUUGUCAACUUUGCGACCUUAUAUAGACGGGUGUGUGCCUUUCCAAAUCAUGUCCAAUCAAUUGAAUUUACCAUAGGUGGACUCCAAUCAAGUUGUAGAAACAUUUCAAGGAUGAUCAAUGAAAACAGGAUGCACCUGACCUCAAUUUCGUUGCUGAAUACUUAUGUAAAUGAAUGUUUUUUUUUUAAUAAAUUUGCCAAAAUUUAUAAAAAACUGUUUUCACUUUCUCAUUAUAGGGUAUUAAGUGUAGAUUGCUGAGGAUUAUUUUUUUAUUUAAUCCAUUUUAGAAAAAGGCUGUUACGUAACAAAAUUUGGAAAAAGUCAAGGGGUCUGAAUACUUUCCGAAGUCACUGUAGGCUACUAGUAAUGUUACCAGGGCCACGUUCAGUUGAAAAACGUUCUUGAAUGUUGCAGAUAGAAAUUCCAAGAAUAGAGCCGACAUGAUUUCUUAUUCAACAUGUCAGAGAGGCAUGUUUGUUCUACAGAACAAUCUAGAAAAAAGAAACGCACACCUUUAAAGGCGAGGUGCUGGCCAGCGGAGUAGAACACUAGAAAAUAAAGGAAAGCCGCACACUCUAAGAGCUCAGAUGCAAAAAUUUAAUAACCAACGUUUCGACAGCGAAGCUGUCUUCAUCAGGGUAUCAUCAAACACUGCGAGAUGAGUCAUUUAUAUAGUGUCAAGAGACACACAGGUGUUUGUAAUCAUGGCCAAGUAUGGCCUAAUAUCAUUGGUUAACUCAAAUAUUUAAAAAAAUGGCAUACAAAGAACAUACAAAAAGACAAACAAAUGGAUAGCAUACGAUCAUAGCAUUUGUAGUCUAAAAUGUAUCUAACAAACAAUUACAAUGGCAAAAUCACAAUUAUCACAAGAAUGGCUUCAGAUCAAAGGGAAAUCUAUCCCAAUUAAAGGUGUUAUUACGUGUUCCACUAAGGCAGUUAUUUAUCUUAUAACUUGUCCUUGUGGUAAAAAUUAUGUGGGUAAAACAAAGCGUGAAUUAAAAGUACGUAUCUCAGAGCAUCGUAGCACCAUUAGGUGCAAAAACUUAACUUACCCAGUUGCGGCCCACUUUUUGGAAGCAAACCAUCUGAUUUCGUCUCUGCGUUAUAUUGGUAUCGAACAUGUCACCCUCCCGAGGAGAGGGGGUGACCUUGAUCAUUUAUUGUUAAAACGAGAGGCUGCCUGGAUCUUUAAUUUAAAGACCCUUGCUCCCUUCGGUCUCAACAUAGACUUUGAUCUGAAGCCAUUCUUGUGAUAAUUGUGAUUUUGCCAUUAUAAUUGUUUGUUAGAUACAUUUUAGACUACAAAUGCUAUGAUCGUAUGC